UGUUAUAGAGAUGAAUUCAAUAUAAAUUAAAAAUUUUUUUUAUGUAGGAUGGAGUCAUUUUUCUUGGAGCAACACAUUGGCAAUACACAAUAGUAUUUACUUUUAACCUGCAUGAGCCAUAGGGAGAUAUAUGCCAACUUCAUGCAUUCUUUAAGAGCAUCAUUUAAGCAAGGACCUAUACAUGUAGCCUACUUGAGGAUUGUAAGUCCUCUUGAAGUGUAGUAAAUAUGAUAAAUUCAUAGCCUGCUGCUUACACUGUGCAAGAACCAUAGCUAUGAAAGUAUUGUCCCUUGCUGUUGAUUUAAUACAAAUGUUGGUUGAGAUUCUGGUAAUUGUAGUUCAAUACAUUUACAGAUUCCUGGCUGAAGAAGAUUGUAGCAGAAAGCUUGCUCUAACCAGAGUAAAACGAAAUUGUAAUCCGGUUUAGCUACAUGACACAAAUUGCUUCAUGAAGAACAUACUCACCUCUAACCUAGCAAAUAUGAGUCAUUAGGAGAAUUCUAUUCAGUUCUGCCAAGAAUUGUCUCAACAUUUGGAGAAAAGUUAAAUUUCCAAGCAGCUGAAUUCCAAUCAGUUUCAUAUGAAUGACCUCACUACAGUCCAAAGGGAUGAUGGAAUGGAGAGAAAGGAAAGAUCAACUGCAUGAAUGAAUCAGUACUUCAUAACAGUUGCCCAUCUGCUUUUAUUUCUUCAUUGCAUUUCCUUUUGUAACAAGGAAAAAAAAGCAAGUGAUGGCUCUAGGCAAAACCAUCCCUUUCAAUUGUUCAUUAAAAUGGGCAAAUGAUGCCAAGGUGAUUGAAGGAGGAGGGAAAAUCCCAGGAAGUUGUAGAGUGAUGAAGAUUCAACAAAAUCAAAAAGGACACAAGCAAGCAUGUGAUCCUGAUGGCUGUGCACCCAAGGACUAUGCACAUGAUUGUGAAUGCAUGCAAAAAGCUUAGCUUGUCUAAUGUUUAUACAGUUCAUUAAUUCCGAAGAACCAAAGAUUUGCCUUGAGAAGAAAUAAUUUCAUGCUAUUCAGGCCUGUAUUAGCUCAUCUUCUCUCUGUGCCCAAAUAUAAUUUAAAGAACGGCAUCUCAUCUUCAAUGUAUUUUUUUCAGUGUGUUUAUUCACUGAUGUAGAAGAGAUUAUUUGAUGAGAUCUAUGUAUUAAGCUAAGUGCAAAUGAUUUGCUUACAAACAUCAAAGUGCAGAAAAGAGCCCUAGGCUAUUUGAUUGGGUGCCAGUAAAACAGUUUCUUCCACAGAGUUUUAGGAGGUACAAUUUUUACUGAGAAUAAUGUAUAAAGCAAUGGGAUACUGAAAGUUUUCACCUAAGUGAAUAUAAAACUAAAGUAUUUUUAAGAAUAGCAAGAGACUGAGAAGAGAGGAAUUGAGUUAUUUCAUAUAAUUUUUUUUAGAAAGAUUUACAAAAUAACUCUAGCAUAGAUUUAGGCCAGGCUGAGUUUAAUCUUAAAUUAUUUCUAAUACACAAAAUGGGAUGGAAGCUCAUAAAACCCAUUUCCUCUCCCCUGGCUGGGUGGAAUUUUCCCAGAUAUGAUGCCUUCAAUAUAUUGUGAGUUUAGCCUGGGCUGAUUUGGAUAUUGAAAACUGGGCUGGUUCUUGUUUAUUCAACAGAAAUCCAAGGAAGUGUACAGUUUUUAAUGUAGUCACAUCAUGAUCUCCAGUAAAGGUUUCCCUGCCUUGAGCUGAAUAAAGCUAUGGGUAGGAGUAAAGAUGCCAAUCUCUUGGGGGCAGGGGAAAGGAAGUGUUGAAAUCCUACAUUUAUGAGAGAUAUUUAGUGCUAGGGGUAUGUAUUUGCAUAUGGUGUAGGGAAUUGGGAGAAGGUAACAGACUUCUCUAACAUGCCUUAUGAGGGAAGUUCUGAUAUCUAUCCUGGGAUCCACAUUUGCCUGUAGUAUUGCUGGCUAAAUUAACUAAAUAUUGGGAAUUCAGCUGUCUUGAAAAACUAAGAGAACAAAGAAUGCACUGUCUACCCAUUGCAAAUAAAUAGUUGGGAUAUUUCUCUGUGAUAACAGCUGUAAUUCGUCAUGUUUUAGAUACAAACUUGGAAUUUGACAUUUCCCAGAAUUAAAAUCUGGGACUGGACUAUAAUUGCUUAGGAACAGUAGGCUUGGCUGGUAAAAAUGUUAAAGUAUAUACAGUUUAUGAAAAAGGAAUCAAAGGGAUCAAGUCUUCUGCAUCUGUCCAGUAAAACUCACUCUGGUAUUACAGAUCCGAAGGUGGCAUAAUUACAGCAAGAUUAAGGAUUUUCCUGGUCACUUGAAGGACUCAUUUCCCCUGAAAUAUGUUUAUCUGAGAAUCUGAGCUGACGAGAACAACAAAGUAAUAAAAGUGGGGGGACACUUUUUCAGCCCCACAUUUUAUAAAUGCUUUGUCAAAGUGCAUCAGUACUCUUGCUGCAAGUUUUUGAAAAGGCAUUCCCUAAGUAUACUUUAUCAUUCUGUUGAAUUUACAAUUGAUGAGCAAUGGGGUAAUGAAAUCAUUAUAAUUAUUUAUAGGAUACUAAUUUUUAAAAUUAAACUUUUUUGUUUAAAUAUUUUUUUGUUUAGUUUCUAAAAAGAUUAUUUUUAGCAUUUAUUGAUAGAUAGAAGUUGUCUUUAAGAUUUUACUGGAAAAAGCAACAGAAAUAUUUAAAAUAUAGAUGUUAUUUAUUUAAUGUAUAUUUUAUUUUCUCCCAGAUAACAUCAUGCUUCUUUAUAGUCUCUGUUAAUUAAAGCAUAGAAGUAUCCCAGAGAUACUGAAGCCAAAGGUCGCUUCUGCAAUUCAGAGCUCUAUAAUUGUUUUUACUUUACAAAAGCCUCUCUUGUGUAGUGGUCCUUAGAGAUUUUAGUGGUCUGAAAAAAAGAAAGUUGUAUUCAAAUGAAAGGCAAAAAAAAUUGACUUGUUUGUUUUUUAAACCCAAUCAUGAGAAAAAUAUCAUGCUAUUGUUUAAUGGUUUUUUUUUUUGGGCUUGGGAAAAGAGAAAAUGUUUUUUGUUUACAAGCAGAUAUUUGCAGGGUCCUUUUGGCAAUAUUUCUGCAAGCUCAUGCUAUCAUACUCAAAAUUUAGAAAGAAAUCCUAGCAUUAAAGUAAGACCAUAAUAGAUGAUAGAUCAAAAGAUAAUAGAUCGAGAGAUGAUAGAUGAUAGAUAGAUAGAUAAUAAUAUUUUGGAAUUGGAAAGCUAUCACUAUAUUUUAAAUGCAUGUAUUGCCACAAUGACAUAGUUUUGCACAUUAAACAAUGUAUAUUUGUAUCAUUUGUACUUCACUUGACUCUUAGUUUCUUCUUGUGGAUGCCCAUAAGUAUAGUCCUACAACCCAAUCUUGAUCUGAAAGAAGUAUACAGCUGUGUAUACUGUUCCUUAUAUGGCAUAUAUGCAUUGGCUAUUUUAUGCCUGAGUAACCAUCCCAUGGAAAAUUAACCAUCAGGUUAUUGGUGAGUUUAAAAUAUCUGAGUGGAGUCAAAAGGCCAUUAAUAUCAAUGUAUAUAUCAAUCUUGAACCCAUAUUUAUUUUUACUGUGUUUAUAUUUCUCUAUUAGAUCCCAAAAUAUUUAUCUCUUAAUGUCCCCAUUUCUCUGCCAUUACUAAUUAUCUCUUAAGCAUUUAAGCCUGAAUCUCUCUCCUCAAAAAUGUUUGUACAGUAAAUAUUACAAAUGAAAGCCGUUUUUCUACAUACUCCCAUAAAUAUCUUAUUACUAAUUGGCAAAAUAUUAUGUUUGUUCUGAAUAAUUGUAUAUCUAGAGAAUUGCUCUACCAUUUCCACAAAUCUGAGUAAACAUUCUUGAAAAUCACUAAAAAUGCUCAAGAUACUGUCAAUAGAUAGCUACAACUUAUGUUGAGUUCCCAUAACACAAAUAUUCUGAAUGUCACAGAUUAUGUGAUUCAAAUUAAAUAUUCAAGCAGAUGCAGAACACUUUAGAUGAGUUCUACAUCAUAAUUACAGGAAAAUAUCCCAUUGGUAUUUACCCAAAUGAAAGAAUUAAAAACUUACUUUUAUCAAAGAGAUAAAAUUGGAUGGAAAAAAUCCAUUUUGACAACUUUUUCAAAUUUUUAUA